UAAGGAACAUUGGACAAUGGAGGCAACUCUGAUCCAGCCAUGCCGCGUGAAGGAAUAAGGCCCUAUGGGUUGUAAACUUCUUUUAGACGGGACAAAACCCCUUUACGUGUAAAGGGUUGAUGGUACUGUCAGAAUAAGCAUCGGCUAACUUCGUGCCAGCAGCCGCGGUAAUACGAAGGAUGCAAGCGUUAUCCGGAAUUAUUGGGUUUAAAGGGUGCGUAGGCGGACUAAUAAGUCAGUGGUGAAAGCCUGCAGCUUAACUGCAGAAUUGCCAUUGAUACUGUUAGUCUUGAGUACAGUUGAGGUAGGCGGAAUGUGUCAUGUAGCGGUGAAAUGCUUAGAUAUGACACAGAACACCGAUUGCGAAGGCAGCUUGCUAAGCUGUAACUGACGCUGAGGCACGAAAGCGUGGGGAGCAAACA
rnacentral:rRNA from 1 species